UACGUAGGGUGCAAGCGUUGUCCGGAAUUAUUGGGCGUAAAGAGCUCGUAGGCGGUUUGUCGCGUCUGCUGUGAAAACUCGGGGCUUAACUCCGGGCCUGCAGUGGGUACGGGCAGACUAGAGUGCGGUAGGGGAGACUGGAAUGCCUGGUGUAGCGGUGAAAUGCGCAGAUAUCAGGAGGAACACCGGUGGCGAAGGCGGGUCUCUGGGCAGUAACUGACGCUGAGGAGCGAAAGCGUGGGGAGCGAACAGG
rnacentral:rRNA from 1 species